UACGUAGGGUGCAAGCGUUGUCCGGAAUUACUGGGCGUAAAGGGCGCGUAGGCGGUUUGCUAAGUUGGAUGUGAAAACUCUGGGCUUAACCCAGAGCCUGCAUCCAAAACUGGCAAACUUGAGUACUGGAGGGGAAAGCGGAAUUCCUGGUGUAGCGGUGAAAUGCGUAGAUAUCAGGAGGAACACCGGUGGCGAAGGCGGCUUUCUGGACAGUAACUGACGCUGAGGCGCGAAAGCUAGGGGAGCAAACAGG
rnacentral:rRNA from 1 species